CCGAAGGCGAGUCGGAGCCGGAGGAGCCCGGAGGAUGGAGCCCAGCGCAGGGCGCUGCAGAGGCCCCCGGCGCAUCCCCCGGCAGCUUCAACAUACUCUGUGCCAUCCCCCCUUCCUCUGCCUGCCCCAGUUCAUCAUUCUGGGCUAGUAGUUCAGAAUUCUCCAGGACAGCUCCAGGGCAGUGGCAUGGAUCUCCAGGCCAGGUGCUAACAGAGCCUUCUUCAGUCAUCGUUCCAGCGUCAGUAGCGAGCAGAGGUCCAGCAGGGGCCUCGUAGGCUGUACAGCACUGACCAACCCC